CAGGCUGCAACCCGCCCUGCAUGAAGUCGGAAUUGCUAGUAAUCGCGGAUCAGCAUGCCGCGGUGAAUACGUUCCCGGGCCUUGUACACACCGCCCGUCACACCAUGGGAGCCGGUAAUACCCGAAGUCAGUAGUCCAACCACGUGAGGACGCUGCCGAAGGUAGGAUUGGCGACUGGGGUGAAGUCGUAACAAGGUACC
rnacentral:rRNA from 1 species